UCAGCUCAGAUACACACACACAGGGCAGACUGGAACCUCAGCUCAGAUACCACACACACACAGGGCAGACUGGGAACCUCAGCUCAGAUACACACACACAGGGCAGACUGGGAACCCAGCUCAGAUACACACACACAGGGCAGACUGGGAACCUCAGCUCAGAUACACACACACAGGGCAGACUGGGAACCUCAGCUCAGAUACACACACACAGGGCAGACUGGGAACCUCAGCUCAGAUACACACCAAACCAGGGCAGACUGGAACCUCAGCCGAUACACACACACAGGGCAGAUGGGAACCUCAGCUCAGAUACACACACCACAGGGCAGACUGGGAACCUCAGCUCAGAUACAACACCCACACAGGGCAGACUGGGAACCUCAGCUCAGAUACACACACACACAGGGCAGACUGGGAACCUCAGCUCAGAUACACACACACACAGGCAGACUGGGAACCUCAGCUCAGAUACACACACACACAGGGCAGACUGGGAACCUCAGCUCAGAUACACACACACAGGGCAGACUCGGGAACCUCAGCUCAGUACACACACACAGGGCAGACUGGGAACCUCAGCUCAGAUACACACACACAGGGCAGACUGGGACCUCAGCUCAGCUACACACACACAGGGCAGACUGGGAACCUCAGCUCAGAUACACACAACAGGGCAGACUGGGACCUCCGCUCAGUACACACACACAGGGCAGACUGGGAACCUCAGCUCAGAUACACACACACAGGGCAGACUGGGAACCUCAGCUCAGAUACCACACACAGGGCAGACUGGGAACUCAGCUCAGAUAACACACACAGGGCAGACUGGGAACCUCAGCUCAGAUAACACACACAGGGCAGACUGGGACCUCAGCUCAGUACACACAGGGAGACUGAACCUACUCAGACCACACACAGGGCAACUGGGAACCUCAGCUCAGAUCACACACAGGCAGCGCAGACUGGGAACCUCAGCUCAGACACCCACAAGCAGGAUGGAACCUCAGCUCCGAUACACACACACAGGGCAGGGGAACCUCAGUCAGAUACACACACACAGGGCAGACUGGGAACCUCAGCUCCAUACACACACACACGGGCAGACUGGGAACCUCAGCUCGAUACACACACAGGCAGACUGGAACCUCAGCCAGACACACCAGGGCGUGUCUGAGCUCAAAGUGCUGUACAGAAACCAGCCUAAAACCCCCAAACAGGAAGCAAUGCAGGUGUAAAGCACGGUGGCUAGGAAAAAACUCCCUAGAAAGGCCAAAACCUAGGAAGAAAACCUAGAGAGGAACCGGCUAUGUGGGGUGGCCAGUCCUCUUCUGGCUGUGCUGGUGGAGAUUAUAACAGAACAUGGCCAAGAUGUUCAAAUGUUCAUAAAUGACCAGCAUGGUCGAGAUAAUAAUAAGGCAGAACAGUUGAAACUGGAGCAGCAGCACGGUCAGGUGGACUGGGGACAACAAGGAGUCAUCAUGUCAGGUAGUCCUGAGGCAUGGUCCUAGGGCUCAGGUCCUCCGGAGGAGAGAAAGAAAAGAGGAAUUGAGAGGCACACUUAAUUCACACAGGCACAGAUAGGAUACCCAUAAUGUAUUGGGCCUAUAGCUUAC
ensembl:lncRNA